rnacentral:rRNA from 1 species
GUGUCAGCCGCCGCGGUAAUACAGAGGUCUCAAGCGUUGUUCGGAUUCAUUGGGCGUAAAGGGUGCGUAGGCGGUGAGGUAAGUUGGAUGUGAAAUCCCGGAGCUUAACUCCGGAACUGCAUUCAAUACUGCCUUGCUAGAGUACUGGAGAGGAGAUUGGAAUUCACGGUGUAGCAGUGAAAUGCGUAGAUAUCGUGAGGAAGACCAGUGGCGAAGGCGAAUCUCUGGACAGUGACUGACGCUGAGGCACGAAGGCUAGGGGAGCAAACGGGAUUAGAUACCCGGGUAGUCC